AGGCCGGUGGCAGCUUGCAUGCCUGCAGGUCGACGAUUAGAGUUUGAUCAUGGCUCAGAGCGAACGCUGGCGGCAGGCCUAACACAUGCAAGUCGAACGAACUCUUCGGAGUUAGUGGCGGACGGGUGAGUAACACGUGGGAACGUGCCUUUAGGUUCGGAAUAACUCAGGGAAACUUGUGCUAAUACCGAAUGUGCCCUUCGGGGGAAAGAUUUAUCGCCUUUAGAGCGGCCCGCGUCUGAUUAGCUAGUUGGUGAGGUAAAGGCUCACCAAGGCGACGAUCAGUAGCUGGUCUGAGAGGAUGAUCAGCCACAUUGGGACUGAGACACGGCCCAAACUCCUACGGGAGGCAGCAGUGGGGAAUCUUGCGCAAUGGGCGAAAGCCUGACGCAGCCAUGCCGCGUGAAUGAUGAAGGUCUUAGGAUUGUAAAAUUCUUUCACCGGGGACGAUAAUGACGGUACCCGGAGAAGAAGCCCCGGCUAACUUCGUGCCAGCAGCCGCGGUAAUACGAAGGGGGCUAGCGUUGCUCGGAAUUACUGGGCGUAAAGGGAGCGUAGGCGGACAUUUAAGUCAGGGGUGAAAUCCCGGGGCUCAACCUCGGAAUUGCCUUUGAUACUGGGUGUCUUGAGUAUGAGAGAGGUGUGUGGAACUCCGAGUGUAGAGGUGAAAUUCGUAGAUAUUCGGAAGAACACCAGUGGCGAAGGCGACACACUGGCUCAUUACUGACGCUGAGGCUCGAAAGCGUGGGGAGCAAACAGGAUUAGAUACCCUGGUAGUCCACGCCGUAAACGAUGAUUGCUAGUUGUCGGGAUGCAUGCAUUUCGGUGACGCAGCUAACGCAUUAAGCAAUCCGCCUGGGGAGUACGGUCGCAAGAUUAAAACUCAAAGGAAUUGACGGAAUCUCUAGAGGAUCCCCGGGUACCGAGCUCGAAUUCGUAAUCAUGGUCAUAGCUGUUUCCUGUGUGAAAUUGUUAUCCGCUC
rnacentral:rRNA from 1 species